UGUGUGGAUGACGGUACCGGAAUAAGAAGCACCGGCUAACUACGUGCCAGCAGCCGCGGUAAUACGUAGGGUGCGAGCGUUAAUCGGAAUUACUGGGCGUAAAGCGUGCGCAGGCGGUUUAGUAAGACAGGCGUGAAAUCCCCGGGCUCAACCUGGGAACUGCGCUUGUGACUGCUAAGCUAGAGUACGGCAGAGGGGGUGGAAUUCCACGUGUAGCAGUGAAAUGCGUAGAGAUGUGGAGGAACACCGAUGGCGAAGGCAGCCCCCUGGGCCGAUACUGACGCUCAUGCACGAAAGCGUGGGUAGCAAACAGGAUUAGAUACCCUGGUAGUCCACGCCCUAAACGAUGUCAACUAGGUGUUGGGAGGGUAAAACCUUUUAGUACCGGAGCUAACGCGUGAAGUUGACCGCCUGGGGAGUACGGCCGCAAGGUUAAAAACUCAAAGGAAUUGACGGGGAC
rnacentral:rRNA from 1 species